GAUGAAGAACGUAGCGAAAUGCGAUAAGUAAUGUGAAUUGCAGAAUUCAGUGAAUCAUCGAAUCUUUGAACGCACCUUGCGCCCUUUGGCUAUUCCGAAGGGCAUGCCUGUUUGAGUAUCGUGAACACCUCAACUCUCAUGGUUUGCCAUGAUGAGCUUGGACUUUGGGGGUUUUGCUGGCCUUUGGUCGGCUCCUCUCAAACGGAUCAGCUUUCCAGUGUUUGGUGGCGUCACGGGUGUGAUAACUAUCUACGCCUGUGGUUUUCUGCCAGAUAACCUUCAGCGAUGGAGGUUCGCUGGGGCUCAUAAAUGUCACUCUUCAGUGGAGACAGCUUUUUGGACGUUUGAUCUCAAAUCAGGUAGGACUACCCGCUGAACUUAAGCAUAUCAAUAAGCGGAGGA
rnacentral:misc_RNA from 1 species